rnacentral:tRNA from 2 species
GGCUCAGUGGUCUAGUGGUAUGAUUCGUGCUUCGGGUGUGCGAGGUCUCGGGUUCAAUCCCCGACUGAGCCC